rnacentral:sRNA from 1 species
AAGCAAACACAAAAAGUACGACGCAACAGAUUAACGGAGAAGGCUAU